UCCCUCUUAGCUCAGUUGGUAGAGCGCGUCAUUAGUACUGCGUAACGGUGUCCUCGUAAUCCAUAUGACGAGGCCACUUGUUCAAAUCAGGUAGAGGGAA